GAUGAACGCUGGCGGCGUGCCUAAUACAUGCAAGUCGAGCGAACGGACGAGAAGCUUGCUUCUCUGAUGUUAGCGGCGGACGGGUGAGUAACACGUGGAUAACCUACCUAUAAGACUGGGAUAACUUCGGGAAACCGGAGCUAAUACCGGAUAAUAUUUUGAACCGCAUGGUUCAAAAGUGAAAGACGGUCUUGCUGUCACUUAUAGAUGGAUCCGCGCUGCAUUAGCUAGUUGGUAAGGUAACGGCUUACCAAGGCAACGAUGCAUAGCCGACCUGAGAGGGUGAUCGGCCACACUGGAACUGAGGCACGGUCCAGACUCCUACGGGAGGCAGCAGUAGGGAAUCUUCCGCAAUGGGCGAAGGCCUGACGGAGCAACGCCGCGUGAGUGAUGAAGGUCUUCGGAUCGUAAAACUCUGUUAUUAGGGAAGAACAUAUGUGUAAGUAACUGUGCACAUCUUGACGGUACCUAAUCAGAAAGCCACGGCUAACUACGUG
rnacentral:rRNA from 1 species